UUAAGUUCAGCGGGUAUUCCUACCUGAUCCGAGGUCAACCUUGAGUUAAAGAUGGUUCUUUAACGGCCGGAGCGCCGCCCAACGCCCUAAGCGAGAUAAUGAAUUACUACGCUCGGGGUUGUAGCGAGCCCGCCACUUCCUUUCAGGGCCACGGCGGCCGUGGGGCCCCAACACCAAGCAGGGCUUGAGGGUUGAAAUGA
rnacentral:misc_RNA from 1 species